UCAUCGACAAUUCGAGAUUGCCAAGGAGACCGCCAAGGACUGGGUUAAGCUCACCGUCCAAAACCGUCAGGCCAAGGUCUCGGUGGUCCCCUCUACCGCCUCUUUGGGAUCUGCGUUUUGCUUGGAGCCGGAUCGCGACCGCAAAAUGUCAACUGCUUCAGAUUCGUUUUCUCUACCUUCUUCCUUCACACAUCUCUCAGCCGGAGCUUCCUCCUUUCCCUCCAGAUCCAGUUAUGAUUAGAUCUUUUGUAAAGAUCCAAUAUUGGGGCCGCUAAGUUUGUGAAGGAGACGGGGCUCAAUUAUCGAGCUGCACUUAGCAAUAUCACCAAUUUCAAAAGAGAGGCUUUUGGCUUUCAGAGAAGAUGCAAG